rnacentral:rRNA from 1 species
GACGAACGCUGGCGGCGUGCUUAACACAUGCAAGUCGAACGGAAAGGCCCCCACUUUUUUGGUGGGGGUGCUCGAGUGGCGAACGGGUGAGUAACACGUGGGUGAUCUGCCCUGUACUUCGGGAUAAGCUUGGGAAACUGGGUCUAAUACCGGAUAGGACCAUGGUUUAGUGUCUCAUGGUGGAAAAAUUAUUGUUUUGGUGCAGGAUGAGCUCGCGGCCUAUCAGCUUGUUGGUGGGGUAAUGGCCUACCAAGGCGUCGACGGGUAGCCGGCCUGAGAGGGUGGACGGCCACAUUGGGACUGAGAUACGGCCCAGACUACUACGGGAGGCAGCAGUGGGGAAUAUUGCACAAUGGGCGCAAGCCUGAUGCAGCGACGCCGCGUGGGGGAUGACGGCCUUCGGGUUGUAAACUCCUUUCGUUAGGGACGAAGCCGCACCUUUUUUGGGUGUGGUGACGGUACCUUUGUUAAGAAGCACCGGCUAACUACGUG